rnacentral:rRNA from 1 species
UGGGGGAUAUUGCACAAUGGGCGAAAGCCUGAUGCAGCGACGCCGCGUGGGGGAUGAAGGCUUUCGGGUUGUAAACCUCUUUCGCUAUCGAACAAGGCCUGCUUAGGGUGGGUUGAGGGUAGGUGGAGAAGAAGCGCCGGCUAACUACGUGCCAGCAGCCGCGGUAAUACGUAGGGCGCGAGCGUUGUCCGGAAUUAUUGGGCGUAAAGGGCUUGUAGGCGGCUAGUUGCGCCUGCUGUGAAAACGCGGGGCUUAACUUCGCGCGUGCAGCGGGUACGGGCAGGUUUGAGUGUGGUAGGGGUGACUGGAAUUCCAGGUGUAGCAGUGGAAUGCGCAGAUAUCUGGGGGAACACCGAUAGCGGAGGCAGGUCACUGGGCCAUUACUGACGCUGAGGAGCGAAAGCAUGGGUAGCGAACAGG